CACAGAAGUAUCUCCAUUAUUUCUCUUCAUUAAUCCAUCUUCGUUUGUUUUCUUCAACCAAAACCAAGCUCUCUUCAUCAUUCAUCCAUUAUAAUAUUCCUUACACCCAUCAUCUUCUCUAUUUCUCAUUAUAAUAUUCUAAUCUCUCUUCCUUUCACAGUUUCAUCCACAGAAUACCCUGUUAUUUAGCUCCAUUAAUCCAUGUGAGUUUGUAAAUAAGUAUGUUUACUCAUGUAUUAGCAUA
rnacentral:lncRNA from 1 species